UUGAAUGGCCAAAAAGGGAAAAGUAAGUGCUCAGUGAAUAGUCUUUAGUCUCAGUGAAUAAAUAAAUGGUGGCCGGGCACGGUGGCUCACGCCUGUAAUCCCAGCAGUUUGGGAGGCUGAGGUGGGUGGAUCACUUGAGGUCAGGAGUUCAAGAUCAGCCUGGCCAACAUGGAGAAACACCAUCUCUAUAAAAAUACAAAAAAAUUAGCUGGGCAUGGUGGCCCAUGCCUGUAAUCCCAGCUACUCGGGAGGCUGAGACAG
rnacentral:lncRNA from 10 species